rnacentral:rRNA from 1 species
UACCUUGACCUGUCCGGCAACCUCAUCGGCUGCGAUGUGGCCGCCAGGGCGCUCUCCGGCUGCCGCAGUCUUAGAGCGCUCAACCUCUCCAGCAACCAUCUCGCCGGCGCGUUUCUGCCGAACAUCGCUGGCCCUGUGUGUAGUCCUCGCCUCUCCGUCCGCGGAGACCGGAGGCCAUGGUGGCGAGCCGCCUCGGCAUGGUGUCGCAGCACGAGCGGCGGAGAGCGCGGCCUCGCUGUUGGUUCCUUAGCUCGACAUGACGGUUGCAGCAUGUUUCUCGCGCCCGCCCAGACUGCAGGUGAUCCACCUACAGCCUGCGUCGUCACCAUGGGGAACUAUCGCCUCAGUGGUGUCCAAGAUCGGCAAGGUAAAGACCAAUCGUUAAUCCAUCUUGGAAGAAUGAGGGGUAGAAUCUUGGGAGUAAAUCUGACUGGGCAUUUAAUUGGACAGUACGUCAAUCCUGGGGACACGAUCGACUAG